UCACGAGGUUCCCCGGAUGGAAGCACGUUCACCCAAUUACAUUUAUAUUCCUUACGAUCCCGGAAGUAUAAUCAUAAUCGCGAUUUUAUUUAUGGCAAUUUCGACUUUAUUGAAACAUGUUCUGAUUAUAUUUGUCGAUAGUCUGGUUGCAUUUCUCGAAUUUCUGACUUCAUCUCUCGAAGAUCCGGAGUCAUUUAUCGUCAUUCCCGAGUCAUUUCUCGCGAUUCCAGAGUCAAUUAUCGCGAUUCUGACUUUAGUUUUCCCAAUUCCGGACUCUUUUCUCACAAAUGUGACGACAUUUUUCGAAGUUCUGACUUCACUUCUCGCAGUCCUGAUUUUAUUUAUCAUAUUUCCGAGGUCAUUUCUCGCAAUUCGGACUUUUUUCACGCAUCUCGGACUUGAUUACUCGCGAAUCAGAUUUUCUUUCUGUCCAUUCUGAGUUAUUUUUGAACAACAAGCGGUAUCUGGAGCAAUCAGUUCUGCUUCUGCUAUAAUGUUACUAAGCUUCAUGUGUACAUGGCAGACAGGAGUUCAGGACACAAAGGCUGCAUCUGCUCUGUCCAGGAUGGACGACCUUUUCAGCUUCCUGAGGGAGAGAAAUGUUCCUGAGUCCACCAUAAAUAAAAUGAUUUAUGAUAAGUGUAAUACUUACAGAGCUCGGACAUACGCUUCAUACGGCUCCUCGUCUUGUUGAAUGGUGAAGUCGGUUCCAAUGAGCCGCAGUCCGCACGGGAUUUCAUGGUGUUGGAUUAUGGAAUAAUUGUCCAUCCUUCCCCUCCACAGAACUUUCUUCCACUCAAUCACUGUCCAAUUCUUG